ensembl:lncRNA
CGAUAAGUGAUGUCACAGGGAGCCAUUUGUCCCUUCCUCCAGAGGUAACAGAAAUGACUCCGUUUGGCAGAUGGGAACCAGUUUCGUAAAUUCCUGAGGAACUCUGGCUUUUAUCUAACCACCAGAAAUCCUACAGUCCAGUUUAAGAUCUGGAUACGGAUUUAAUAUUUCUGGACAUUUGGACGACCCACGAGACCUAAGAACAAUAAACUGAACGUAUAGUGGAUCAUGUACGAUACACAGGAUGGCCCUAUCAAAGGACAAUAAUCACAGUAAAGACAGAAAUAUCUGGAAAUUAUGAAAGAAAUGAAAGGAUGGGCUGGUGAAAAGCAGAGAGAAACCGAAAGGUAACAUGAAGAAAAGUAGCAGGGAGCUCAGUGCUGUAGGAAGGGAGAGGAAGCCAAAACCAAGUACAAGGUGAGUCAGACGUCCCUGGAGAAGAGACCGGCAUUCCUAACCAAAGGGCAACACAAGACUUACAUCUCGGGAGGUGAUUUGCUGUCACGGUGGCUUCUCCUAUGUGGCAAGUGAACAUUGGAGGGGACAUCCAUUUGUACAACCUUUGUUCUGGAGUACUACAAUCAGAUGCCGGGGGUGGGGGGGCGGUUGUUUGAGACUGAGCUGCUCUGGAGAGUGAGAACGGUUGCAACUCUGAGAAUCUGGGUGUCAAACCUGGCUGGGCCACAGGACGAGAUUGUAAAUACAUAUGCACCAAAUGUUGGUCCGGCCAAAUUCAUAAAAUGAUCGCUACUGGGUAUAAAAGGACAGACUGGUCCAGAUACCACGAUAGGGGGAGACGACAAUACCUCAUCUCCACAUCUAAAUCAUCCAGCUAAAAAUUAAUAGCCGUCAGCUGAACCACACCACAGAUCAAAGCGUUAAAACAGACACCCACAGAAUAUUCUAAGAGCUAUGGCUUACAAAUUCUUCUCAGAACUUCAUGGAACUUUAUUCAUAUAACAUUCUAGGUUAUAAAGGAAGUUUUAACAAAUACAAAGGAAUAAUGUCUUUUUUAUUUUGCGUGCGUGCGUGUGUCUGUGUGUGUGUGUGUGCGCAUGCGUGCGUGCAUGUGUGUGUGUGUGUGUGUGUGCGUGUGUCUGUGUGUGUGUGUGUGCGUGUGUCUGUGUGUGUGUGUGCGUGUGUCUGUGUG